rnacentral:rRNA from 1 species
UCACCUGUUUUUCAAAAACAUGUCUUAAAGAAAUUUAAUUUAAAGUCAAAUCUGCUCAAUGAAUUAUCACUUAAAUAGCUGCAGUAUAAAUAACUGUACUAAGGUAGCAUAAUAAUUUGUUUUUUAAUUUAAAACUAGAAUGAAUGAUUUAAUGAAAUAUAAACUGUCUCAAUUUAAAAUAAUAAAAUUAUUAUUUAAGUUAAAAAACUUAAAUUCAAUUUAAAGACGACAAGACCCUAUAGAAUUUUAAUAUUUAAUUUUUAAUUAAAUUAAAAUUUAAAUAAUUUAAUUGGGGAAAUUUUAAAAUUAAAAUAAUUUUUAAUUAAAUUUAACAAUUAUUUUUGAAUAAAUAAUUUUUACUUAAAAAAAUAAAAAAAAAUUACCUUAGGGAUAACAGCAUAAUUUUUUUUUAAAGUUCAAAUUUAUAAAAAAGUUUAUGACCUCG